UGUGCACCAGACAGGGGGAUUUCUAACUUAAAGGGAGAGUCUGCCUGGCAGUCAAGCUGUGUUUCAUCCCUGCAAUGCCAGGCAGGGGAACUCAGGAGCAGCAUGCCAAGAGAUGAACCCGAGCUCUGGACUGAAAUAAUCUCUUAGUUGAUGUUCCCACAAUCAACUAAUUUGAACAAAGUUAGUUCAAACGCUGAGAAGGAGUGCCUGAGAGUGCCGGAGGAGCCGUGGCCUGGGUGUGCAGAACCUACAUGAGAUUUGUGAGGACGAUGCAACUGUCAACUGAACACUGAGUCCUUGUACACAGGACCCGUUGUGCCUUGGUGAACCUGCCCAGCGGGAGAUACUUCUGACCUGAGUGGAGUGUUUCAGCGUUAACAGGUAAAGGAUGAGAGUCCUUGGACCUGCCAGAGAAAUGUUUCUAAGGAUGACCUUGGACAUACAGAGAUUUUCUCGGAGGUGAUGCUUCAAUGGCAGUGAAGAUCCAAAAGACUAUUAAGUUGGGUUCCUGCUCCUGAGGAAAGAUAGACAGCCCCGUUUUUCUAAGCCUUGAAUAAUUGAAUAGGAAGAAACUCUGGAUGAAAGAAGGCUUUCAGGAAUACCUUUCCAACUCCUACUCACAUGGCCUUCAGGAAGCCAAAUCUCACCAACCUCUCUGCAAACCAAACCCAGAUGGAUGUCCCCAUGGAUGUUUUUGCAGAAAUUAUAAAUACAUUUUCUUAUUUCUCCA